ACGUAGGCGGCAAGCGUUGUCCGGAAUUAUUGGGCGUAAAGGGAGCGCAGGCGGGAAACUAAGCGGAUCUUAAAAGUGCGGGGCUCAACCCCGUGAUGGGGUCCGAACUGGUUUUCUUGAGUGCAGGAGAGGAAAGCGGAAUUCCCAGUGUAGCGGUGAAAUGCGUAGAUCUUCGGAAGAACACCAGUGGCGAAGGCGGCUUUCUGGCCUGUAACUGACGCUGAGGCUCGAAAGCUAGGGUAGCGAACGC
rnacentral:rRNA from 1 species